AGCCUGUGAUGGAAUAAGAGUAGUGGACAGAACGGAUUUCUGAAAGAUAAUUCUGAGGCU
ensembl:snoRNA